CACAAACAGAUUGCUGCCAUUGGUACUGUGUCAAAUGUGAUCGGACCACCCACCGGAUCAUCUCCCUCACCAUCUUCGCCGACGACCGCCUCACCGGCCAAAUCCCACCGGACGUCGGCGAUCUUCCAUUUCUUCAAACCCUCAUGUUCCAUAAACUCCCAAAUCUCACCGGCCCCAUCCAACCCACCAUAGCCAAACUCCAAAACCUCAGAUUCCUCGACCUCAGCUGGAACAGUCUCUCCGGCAACAUCCCCGAAUCCCUCAGCACUCUCAAGAAUCUCUUCGAUCUCGACCUCUCAUUCAACAAACUCACCGGAAAAAUCCCAAGUUCUCUCUCCCAACUCCCCAAUUUGGGCGGUCUCCGAUUGGAUCGGAACCAAUUAACAGGACAAAUCCCUGAUUCCUUCGGCUACUUCCCUGGAGAACAACCCCCAUCUUUGAUUCUUUCACACAAUCAACUUUCUGGGAACAUCCCUUCUUCUUUGUCAAGAUUGAACUUCACUUCCAUUGAUUUCUCCCGCAAUAAGCUUGAAGGCGAUGCGUUUAUGUUCUUCGGCGCUAACAAAAUGAUCCAGAUUCUUGAUUUGUCGAGGAAUUUGUUGGAAUUUAACUUGUCGGAG
rnacentral:misc_RNA from 1 species